rnacentral:rRNA from 1 species
GUGCCAGCCGCCGCGGUAAUACCGGCAGCCCGAGUGAUGGCCGAUCUUAUUGGGCCUAAAGCGUUCGUAGCCGGCCGGACAAGUCCGUUGGGAAAUCCACGCGCUCAACGCGUGGGCGUCCAGCGGAAACUAUCCGGCUUGGGGCCGGAAGACUCGAGGGGUACGUCCGGGGUAGGAGUGAAAUCCCGUAAUCCUGGACGGACCACCGGUGGCGAAAGCACUUCGAGAAAACGGAUCCGACAGUGAGGGACGAAAGCUAAGAUCGCGAACCGGAUUAGAAACCCGGGUAGUCC